CCAGACUCCUACGGGAGGCAGCAGUGGGGAAUAUUGCACAAUGGGCGCAAGCCUGAUGCAGCCAUGCCGCGUGUGUGAAGAAGGCCUUCGGGUUGUAAAGCACUUUCAGUCGUGAGGAAGGUGGUAGUGUUAAUAGCACUAUCAUUUGACGUUAGCGACAGAAGAAGCACCGGCUAACUCCGUGCCAGCAGCCGCGGUAAUACGGAGGGUGCGAGCGUUAAUCGGAAUUACUGGGCGUAAAGCGCAUGCAGGUGGUUUGUUAAGU
rnacentral:rRNA from 1 species